GACGAACGCUGGCGGCGUGCUUAACACAUGCAAGUCGAACGGAAAGGCCCUGCUUUUGUGGGGUGCUCGAGUGGCGAACGGGUGAGUAACACGUGAGUAACCUGCCCUUGACUUUGGGAUAACUUCAGGAAACUGGGGCUAAUACCGGAUAGGAGCUCCUGCUGCAUGGUGGGGGUUGGAAAGUUUCGGCGGUUGGGGAUGGACUCGCGGCUUAUCAGCUUGUUGGUGGGGUAGUGGCUUACCAAGGCUUUGACGGGUAGCCGGCCUGAGAGGGUGACCGGCCACAUUGGGACUGAGAUACGGCCCAGACUCCUCCGGGAGGCAGCAGUGGGGAAUAUUGCACAAUGGGCGGAAGCCUAAUGCAGCAACGCCGCGUGCGGGAUGACGGCCUUCGGGUUGUAAACCGCUUUCGCCUGUGACGAAGCGUGAGUGACGGUAAUGGGUAAAGAAGCACCGGCUAACUACGUG
rnacentral:rRNA from 1 species